rnacentral:rRNA from 1 species
UACCCAAUCCCGACACGGGGAGGUAGUGACAAGAAAUACCGAUACAGGGCCUUUUAUGGUCUUGUGAUUGGAAUGAGUACAAUUUAAAUCCAUUAACGAGGAGCAAGCACAGGGCAAGUCUGGUGCCAGCAGCCGCGGUAAUUCCAGCUGUGCGAGCAUACAUUAAAGUUGUUGCAGUUAAAACGCCCGUAGUUGAAACUCGGGCCUGGCCCGCCGGUCCGCCUCACCGCGUGCACUGGUUGGGCCGGGUCUUUCUCCCUGGAAAUCCGCAUGCCCUUCACUGGGCGUGCCGGGGGACCAGGACUGUUACUGUGAAAAAAUCAGAGUGUUCAAAGCAGGCCUUUGCUCGAAUGCCUUAGCAUGGAAUAACGGAAUAUGACGAGAGGUCGUGUUUCGUUGGUUUUCGCGACCGUCGUAAUGAUUAAUAGGGAUGGUCGGGGGCAUCGGUAUUCGAUCGUCAGAGGU